rnacentral:rRNA from 1 species
AGUGACGGGGUACACGUGUGGGGACCGCCGCUGCUAAAGCGGAGGAAGGAAUGGGCAACGGUAGGUCAGUAUGCCCCGAAUAUCCCGGGCUACACGCGAGCUACAAUGGUUGGUACAAUGGGUAUCUACCCCGAAAGGGGACGGGAAAUCUCCUAAAACCAAUCUUAGUUCGGAUUGAGGGCUGCAACUCGCCCUCAUGAAGCUGGAAUCCGUAGUAAUCGCGUUUCAACAGAACGCGGUGAAUACGUCCCUGCUCCCUU